rnacentral:rRNA from 1 species
AGGAAUAAGCCACCGAAAGGUGGUCUAAUACUUCAUAAUAUCCAUCUCGUAUGGAUUAAAGCUUUAUGCGCUUUGGAGGGGCCUGCGUAACAUUAGCUUGUUGGUGAGGUAAAAGCUCACCAAGGCUUCGAUGUUUAACUGGUUUGAGAGGAUGACCAGUCACACUGGGACUGAGAUACGGCCCAGACUCCUACGGGAGGCAGCAGUAAGGAAUCUUCCACAAUGGGGCAACCCUGAUGGAGCAAUACCGCGUGCAGGAUGAAGCGUUUCGGCGUGUAAACUGCUUUAUCACCGAAGAUUAUGACUGUAGGUGAAGAAUAAGGACCGGCUAACUACGUG